rnacentral:rRNA from 1 species
AUUGAACGCUGGCGGCAUGCUUUACACAUGCAAGUCGAACGGCAGCGCGGGGCAACCUGGCGGCGAGUGGCGAACGGGUGAGUAAUAUAUCGGAACGUACCCAGAAGUGGGGGAUAACGUAGCGAAAGUUACGCUAAUACCGCAUACGAUCUACGGAUGAAAGUAGGGGACCGCAAGGCCUUAUGCUUUUGGAGCGGCCGAUAUCUGAUUAGCUAGUUGGUGAGGUAAAGGCUCACCAAGGCGACGAUCAGUAGCUGGUCUGAGAGGACGACCAGCCACACUGGAACUGAGACACGGUCCAGACUCCUACGGGAGGCAGCAGUGGGGAAUUUUGGACAAUGGACGCAAGCCUGAUCCAGCAAUGCCGCGUGAGUGAAGAAGGCCUUCGGGUUGUAAAGCUCUUUUGUCAGGGAAGAAACGGUAGAGGCUAAUAUCCUUUGCUAAUGACGGUACCUGAAGAAUAAGCACCGGCUAACUACGUG